rnacentral:rRNA from 1 species
GACGAACGCUGGCGGCGUGCUUAACACAUGCAAGUCGAACGGGAUUUAGUAGACAGAAGCCUCGGCUAAAGAUUACUAAUGAGAGUGGCGAACGGGUGAGUAACGCGUGAGCAACCUGCCUAUGACAGUGGGAUAGCCUCGGGAAACCGGGAUUAAUACCGCAUAAAAUCGUAGAAACACAUGUUUCAACGGUCAAAGAUUUAUCGGUCAUAGAUGGGCUCGCGUCUGAUUAGCUAGUUGGUGAGAUAACAGCCCACCAAGGCGACGAUCAGUAGCCGGUCUGAGAGGAUGAACGGCCACAUUGGAACUGAGACACGGUCCAAACUCCUACGGGAGGCAGCAGUGGGGAAUAUUGCACAAUGGGGGAAACCCUGAUGCAGCGACGCCGCGUGAACGAAGAAGGUAUUCGUAUCGUAAAGUUCUGUCCUAUGGGAAGAUAAUGACAGUACCAUAGAAGAAAGCGCCGGCUAAAUUCGUG